rnacentral:rRNA from 1 species
GACGAACGCUGGCGGCGUGCUUAACACAUGCAAGUCGAACGGAAAGGCCCCUUUGGGGGUACUCGAGUGGCGAACGGGUGAGUAACACGUGAGUAACCUGCCCUUGACUUCGGGAUAACUUCAGGAAACUGGGGCUAAUACCGGAUAGGAAUCCUUGCUGCAUGGUGGGGGUUGGAAAGCUUCGGCGGUUUUGGAUGGACUCGCGGCUUAUCAGCUUGUUGGUGGGGUUGUGGCUUACCAAGGCUUUGACGGGUAGCCGGCCUGAGGGGGGGACCGGCCACGUUGGGGCUGGGGGACGGCCCAGGGGGCGGCGGGGGGGAGGAGGGGGGAAUAUUGCACAAUGGGCGGAAGCCUGAUGCAGCAACGCCGCGUGCGGGAUGACGGCCUUCGGGUUGUAAACCGCUUUCAGCAGGGGCGAAGCUUGUGGUGACGGUACCUGCAGAAGAAGCACCGGCUAACUACGUG